rnacentral:rRNA from 1 species
UACGGAGGGUGCAAGCGUUGUCCGGAAUCACUGGGCGUAAAGGGCGCGUAGGCGGCUCAUGAAGGCUGUGGUGAAGGUCCGGGGCUCAACCUCGGAUCGGCCGUGGCGACUCGUGGGCUGGAGCACUGUAGAGGCGGGUGGAAUUCCGGGUGUAGCGGUGGAAUGCGUAGAGAUCCGGAAGAACACCAGUGGCGAAGGCGGCCCGCUGGGCAGUGGCUGACGCUGAGGCGCGACAGCGUGGGGGAGCAAACAGG